rnacentral:rRNA from 1 species
CCUACGGGAGGCAGCAGUGAGGAAUAUUGGUCAAUGGGCGCGAGCCUGAACCAGCCAAGUAGCGUGAAGGAUGACUGCCCUACGGGUUGUAAACUUCUUUUAUAAAGGGAUAAAGUGAGACACGUGUGCCUUUUUGUAUGUACUUUAUGAAUAAGGAUCGGCUAACUCCGUGCCAGCAGCCGCGGUAAUACGGAGGAUCCGAGCGUUAUCCGGAUUUAUUGGGUUUAAAGGGAGCGUAGAUGGGUUGUUAAGUCAGUUGUGAAAGUUUGGGGCUCAACCGGAAAAUUGCAAUUGAUACUGGCGGUCUAGAGUACAGUUGAGGUAGGCGGAAUGCGUGGUGUAGCGGUGAAAUGCUUAGAGAUCACGAAGAACUCCGAUUGCGAAGGCAGCUUACUAAUCUGCCACUGACAUUGAUGCUCGAAAGUGUGGGUAGCAAACAGGAUUAGAUACCCUUGUAGUC